CCCCAUCAUGUACUUUCUUACAACUCAGGUAAACAGGUUAAUCCAGUUGUUCUCAAAGUUUUAGGAGCCCAAGGAUCAAAAUUCGGAUUGCCUGUCAACAUUCUGAUUCCUUGAUUCUAAUUCUAGAAUUUUGAUUUAGUAGAUCUUGAGUGAGGCCCAAGGAUCUCCAUUCUGUUUGGUUUCCUAAGGGAUUCUGAUGCAGACCAUGGUGGACAUGCUUUGACCUAUAUUUUUUUCCAGCACUUGAGAUGCUAUGAGGUGCAAUAUCUUCCAAAUAAAUGACUUCAUCCAAAUCUUUGUUUUUGGAAGAAUUCAGACCUAGUCAAUGAGGCACGGAGCUCCACCUCGUUGUUAGAAGAAUUGCCUUUCUUUCACCAUUUCUAAUGUGCCAGAGAGGAACAAAUCCCAGAGGCUGUAUUUCUCAGGCUCCAGGAUCCACUAGCUUCUUCCUGGGUUCCAGCAAUAAGAGGCACCAAGAAGAAAGCAGAGGGAGGAAGAGAGAAGUCAGGCUGUGUGUCUGUGUCUCCAGUCAUUAAUAUUAUGAUAUGAAGAGAAGUGCCCAGACUUUAAAGUCAAGCAGACAUGAGUCCAGAUUCAGUUUGAUCAUUUACAAGUGGCUGGAAGACCAACUGCAUUUUGGGUCUCCUGACAAAGUUACCAUGGUUUUAGUUCUGAGCUUUCCUUGCUCUUGUCCCCCUCAACCACCUACAGGAAUUGGACUGUAAUUACCUAGAGCACAAGGAACAAGCACUUUUAAGGUGCUCCCACCAUACCUGAAUAUAACCCUACCAUACAACCCAGCCAUCCCACUCCUUGGAAUUUACCCAAAGGAAAUUAAAUUGGCAAAUAAAAGAGCUGUCUGCACCUUAAUGUUUAUUGCAGCUCAAUUCACAAUAGCUAAGACCUGGAAUCAACCUAAAUGCCCAUCAACAGUAGACUGGAUAAAGAAAUUAUGGGAUAUGUACUCUAUAGAAUACUAUACAGCAGUAAAAAACAAUGAAAUCCGGUCAUUUGCAGCAAAAUGGAGGAAUCUGGAAAACAUCAUGCUGAGUGAAAUAAGCCAGUCCCAAAGGGACAAAUAUCAUAUGUUCUCCCUGAUUGGUGACAACUAACCGAGCACCAAAAUGGAAACCUGUAGAAGUGAAAUGGACACUAUGAGAAACAAUGACUUGAUCUGCCCUUGUCCUGACUGUCGAGGAACAACUUAAUGCUUUAUCCCUUUUAGUAUUUUUUUUGUUCUACUUAAUACUAUUGGUUGAACUCUUUAAUUAACACACAAUUAUUCUUAGGUGUUUAAAUUUAACUGAAAAGUGAUCCCUGUUAAAUAUAAGAGUGGGAAUAAGAGAGGGAGGAGAUGUACAGUUUGGG